rnacentral:rRNA from 1 species
AGAGUUUGAUCCUGGCUCAGGAUGAACGCUAGCUACAGGCUUAACACAUGCAAGUCGAGGGGCAGCGGGAUUGAAGCUUGCUUCAAUUGCCGGCGACCGGCGCACGGGUGAGUAACGCGUAUCCAACCUUCCGUACACUCAGGGAUAGCCUUUCGAAAGAAAGAUUAAUACCUGAUGGUAUCUUAAGCACACAUGUAAUUAAGAUUAAAGAUUUAUCGGUGUACGAUGGGGAUGCGUUCCAUUAGGUAGUAGGCGGGGUAACGGCCCACCUAGCCGACGAUGGAUAGGGGUUCUGAGAGGAAGGUCCCCCACAUUGGAACUGAGACACGGUCCAAACUCCUACGGGAGGCAGCAGUGAGGAAUAUUGGUCAAUGGACGAGAGUCUGAACCAGCCAAGUAGCGUGAAGGAUGAAGGUCCUACGGAUUGUAAACUUCUUUUAUAAGGGAAUAAACCCUCCCACGUGUGGGAGCUUGUAUGUACCUUAUGAAUAAGCAUCGGCUAACUCCGUGCCAGCAGCCGCGGUAAUACGGAGGAUGCGAGCGUUAUCCGGAUUUAUUGGGUUUAAAGGGAGCGCAGACGGGAGAUUAAGUCAGUUGUGAAAGUUUGCGGCUCAACCGUAAAAUUGCAGUUGAUACUGGUUUCCUUGAGUGCAGUUGAGGCAGGCGGAAUUCGUGGUGUAGCGGUGAAAUGCUUAGAUAUCACGAAGAACUCCGAUUGCGAAGGCAGCACACUAAGCCGUAACUGACGUUCAUGCUCGAAAGUGUGGGUAUCAAACAGGAUUAGAUACCCUGGUAGUCCACACGGUAAACGAUGAAUACUCGCUGUUUGCGAUAUACGGUAAGCGGCCAAGCGAAAGCGUUAAGUAUUCCACCUGGGGAGUACGCCGGCAACGGUGAAACUCAAAGGAAUUGACGGGGGCCCGCACAAGCGGAGGAACAUGUGGUUUAA